UAAACACAGCGAGAAAGACAGACAAGCCUACAGUUGGUGACAACACAAUGGAGUAAGUGUUCUUAUAGCAGCGCGACCUAUAAAAACAUCGCUUUCACCCAUCACGUUGUUUCGAUGCCUAGGGUCUCAUCAAGCCACCCCCUCCCUGGUGGACUUAGCUGCACCACUGUCACUUAGGAGGCUAACUGUGGGAGCGACACACUGACGUGCCCCUGGUAGCCCGGGCCGACAGCUCUGGCCACAGCACCGGGACCCGGGCAGUACAACGGAAGACCAAUACUACCUUAAGCGUGGAUGUUUCAAGAGGAGAGAGACCUGCACCUGUUUUGAUGGAUGACGUAUCCCGAGCACAGAACCUGUCACCAGCAGGCACUCGAUAUACAACUGCAUUAAUAAACGACCAGAACUGUGGCACAGCCACCUGCUGAAAAGUUCAGGGAUACCAGGUGAAUGCAGUGACAUUAUAAGGUGUAGUCUAAGAAUCAAUCCUGAUUUAUUUUUUUAGCUACAACAAAGUUCCCUUGUGCCGUGGCACCCAGAACAACUUGGGAGUUUAAUUUCUAAAGUGCACAACAGCGGUGGCUACAGAAAGGAUCUCUAUUCUACGCAUGGCAUCUAAAAUUAAUAAUUAUCAGUAAGACUGAAUUCCACACAUGCUUAAUACUAGUUUAAAUUCUUUUAAUUAAAAGUGCAAGACUGCUUGUAAAAGAAAUUAUGUCUUACCGGUAGGUCGGUGAAAGCAAUACCUAAAAAACAAACAAACAAAAACCAAAAAAAGUGGCAUUAGAAAUGGUUUUUCAAAGGCAGACAACAGUGACAAAGCUGAA